rnacentral:rRNA from 1 species
UACAGAGGUCUCAAGCGUUGUUCGGAUUCAUUGGGCGUAAAGGGUGUGUAGGUGGCGCGCUAAGUCGGGUGUGAAAUUUCGGAGCUUAACUCCGAAACUGCAUUCGAUACUGGCGGGCUUGAGGGAGGUAGGGGCGGAUGGAACUUCCGGUGGAGCGGUGAAAUGCGUAGAUAUCGGAAGGAACGCCGGUGGCGAAAGCGAUCCGCUGGACCUCCUCUGACGCUGAGGCGCGAAAGCCAGGGGAGCAAACGGG